rnacentral:tRNA from 2 species
GACUCCAUGGCGCAAUGGUAGCGCGUUCGACUCCAGGAUUGGUUCAUCGAAAGGUUGCGUGUCCAAGUCACGUUGGGGUCA